ACCAGAACACGUUCGACGGUGAGGGAUGAAAGCUGGGGGAGCAAACCGGAUUAGAUACCCGGGUAGUCCCAGCUGUAAACUAUGCAAACUCAGUGAUGCAUUGGCUUAUGGCCAAUGCAGUGCUGCAGGGAAGCCGUUAAGUUUGCCGCCUGGGAAGUACGUACGCAAGUAUGAAACUUAAAGGAAUUGGCGGGGGAGCACCACAAGGGGUGAAGCCUGCGGUUCAAUUGGAGUCAACGCCAGAAAUCUUACCCGGAGAGACAGCAGAAUGAAGGUCAAGCUGAAGACUUUACCAGACAAGCUGAGAGAUGGUGCAUGGCCGUCGCCAGCUCGUGCCGUGAGAUGUCCUGUUAAGUCAGGUAACGAGCGAGAUCCCUGCCUCUAGUUGCCACCAUUACUCUCAGGAGUAGUGGGGCGAAUUAGCGGGACCGCCGCAGUUAAUGCGGAGGAAGGAAGGGGCCACGGCAGGUCAGUAUGCCCCGAAACUCUGGGGCCACACGCGGGCUGCAAUGGUAGUGACAAUUGGUUCCGAAUCCGAAAGGAGGAGGUAAUCCCUAAACGCUACCACAGUUAUGACUGAGGGCUGCAACUCGCCCUCACGAAUAUGGAAUCCCUAGUAACUGCGUGUCAUUAUCGCGCGGUGAAUACGUCCCUGCUCCUUGUACACACCGCCCGU
rnacentral:rRNA from 1 species